GCCAACGUGGCACACUGGUCUGAGUGUUGGACUUCAACUCUGUAGACCAGGGUUCGAUUCCCAGCAUAGCCA